UCUCUCUCUCUCUCUCUCUCUCUCUCUCUCUCCUGUUUCAAAUCUUCAAUUUUAGGGUUUUUGGAUUUGGGAAUUUCAACCCAAUUGUAAAUACUCAAAAUCUCCCCUGUUUCAAAUCUUCAAUUUUAGGGUUUUUGGAUUUGGGAAUUUCAACCCAAUUGUAAAUACUCAAAAUCUCCCCUGUUUCAAAUCUUCAAUUUUAGGGUUUUUGGAUUUGGG
rnacentral:lncRNA from 1 species